GUGGAGACUUUAAUAUCAUUGCAAAAGGAAUUUGAAGUAUUACAAGGCUGGAUUGGUGAUAUUUUGUCUUCCAUCACCUUUUACAUAUGAUUGGAUCAAUUGUAGCAGCAGUGAUCUACCUCGCAUUACAGCACUGUACUUGAGCAAAUUCAAUCUAUCAGGAUCACUUCCAGAUUUUAGUUCCAUGGAUGCUCUUGAGACAAUUGAUUUGAGUAACAACGAUUUGGAUGGACCUAUUCCUGAUUUUUUUGGCACAUUACCGAAUCUAAAAGAACUGAAUUUAGCAAAUAACAAGUUCAGUGGACCAGUCCCUGCUUCAUUGUCAAACAAAAAUGGCCUAACCAUAGA